GCCAGGCGUGGUGGCGCAUGCCUGUAAUCCCAGCUACUCAAGAGGCUGAGGCAGGAGAAUCGCUUGAACCCAGGAGGUGGAGGUUGCAGUACGCCGAGAUCACGCCACUGCACUCCAGCCUGGGUGACAGAGCGAGAUUCUGUCUCGA
rnacentral:SRP_RNA from 1 species